rnacentral:rRNA from 1 species
AUUGAACGCUGGCGGCAUGCCUUACACAUGCAAGUCGAACGGAUUGAAGGGGCUUGCUCCUUCAGUUAGUGGCGAACGGGUGAGUAAAGCAUCGGAACGUACCCAGUCGUGGGGGAUAACGUAGCGAAAGUUACGCUAAUACCGCAUACGAUCUGAGGAUGAAAGCGGGGGAUCGCAAGACCUCGCGCGAUUGGAGCGGCCGAUGUCGGAUUAGCUAGUUGGUGAGGUAAAGGCUCACCAAGGCGACGAUCCGUAGCUGGUCUGAGAGGAUGAUCAGCCACACUGGAACUGAGACACGGUCCAGACUCCUACGGGAGGCAGCAGUGGGGAAUUUUGGACAAUGGGGAAACCCUGAUCCAGCCAUGCCGCGUGAGUGAGGAAGGCCUUCGGGUUGUAAAGCUCUUUCAGUCGGAAAGAAAAGGCUCCGGAUAAUACCUGGAGUUGAUGACGGUACCGACAGAAGAAGCACCGGCUAACUACGUGCCAGCAGCCGCCGUAA